UGGAAGAGCGUGACUGUCCUCCCAACAGU
rnacentral:piRNA from 1 species